AAUCAACGCUGGCGGCGUGCCUAACACAUGCAAGUCGAGCGAGAAAGUGUAGCAAUACAUGAGUACAGCGGCGCACGGGUGAGUAACACGUGGGUAAUCUGCCCUUGAGUGGGGAAUAACACCGGGAAACCGGUGCUAAUACCGCAUACGAUCACGAUGUCUGCGGAUGUUGUGAUGAAAGGAGCAAUUCGCUCUGGGAGGAGCCCGCGGCUGAUUAGCUAGUUGGUAAGGUAACGGCUUACCAAGGCAACGAUCAGUAGCCGGUCUGAGAGGACGGUCGGCCACACUGGAACUGAGACACGGUCCAGACUCCUACGGGAGGCAGCAGUGGGGAAUUUUUCGCAAUGGGGGCAACCCUGACGAAGCAACGCCGCGUGGGUGAUGAAGUCUCUUGGGACGUAAAACCCUUUCGACGGGGAAGAAACCGCAAGGUUGACGGUACCCGUAGAAGAAGCCCCGGCUAACUCCGUGCCAGCCGCCGCCGUAACAC
rnacentral:rRNA from 1 species